GGGAGGUUUAGCACAGCUAGCAGUAUUUUUUUUCUUCUUCUUUUUAUAUCCUUCCACGAUGACCCAGUUUUGUGAUGAUUUGAAAUUCGAAACAAAGAAAUAAAUUAAUCCGAUGUGACAUUUCAUAACUUGUAUUGCUUGCAACUAUGUCAAUAGGUAUAAUAUACCAGAAACUGAUAAUAAAUCGCGUCCUGAUUUAUCGAGUACCUACAAUGUGCCAGGUACAUCCUAAUGACUGACAAUCAUUAAAUUUCACAACAGCCCCAUAAGGCAUUAUUAUCCUCAGCUUUACUCCAGCAAAGUGCGGUUCACAAGAUUGCUUUAGCAAUCUGCCUAAGGCUGUAGAAGAGGAAGUGGGGGCCUCCAGAGUCAGAUACAGGUCUGUGAGAUUUCAAAGGAGGAUUUCAAAGGAAGAACGACUCAGUUGGGAAACUAUGAAAAGUUGAGAAACUACGAGCCUGCCAGAACUUUGCGUCUGAGUAGUGCUGCUGUGGUGGGACCUGCCACCUUGGGAGGUAGGACUCUGGGGACAGGCACAUGGGGGAUGAGUGAGGAGAGGGACAACAAGCUGUCCGGCGUUGAGACUGGCGACCUGGAGCUGACAUCAGCACCCCUGGAGAUGUCCCCACUGCACCCAGGACGACCUGUAACGGACUCGAGCUCACACAUCGGAUUGAUGACAGAAUUGGGACCCCAGCUGAAGUCUAGUUUCUGACUCCAGUUUCAUUCCCGUCUUUCUGAUCUGGUAUGACAUCAAGGAUGUGACGACACUCACUUAUAGAACGUAAACUCGACCAGGCAAUAGAGAUGGACCAGCGACGUGGAUCUGGAUGUGGGAGCCUUUGCCCGGCCAUCAAAUGCACAGAGGUUAAGAAAAACGCCCAGUCACAGGCUGCUGCUCCAGAAGACGGUCCCGCACACCGGCUCUUCUGUGCCCUUGCUCCCCGCUUGAUGUUUCACCCUGAAAGCCUGAACGCCGUGCUCGGCUCCAAGAACUUCCCUUCCAGAGUUUGUGAAAUAGCUUCGUUGAGAGUCUUACAAUGGUUUUCUGUUUCCCAAGAGUAUGCUAUAGGGGUCAUGGUUACAGACGUUAGGAAAGGCUGGGUGGGCUGGGCUAAUUAUAUAUGGAUUAUUGCCUCACAUUUUCCUGUCCCGCAGACUCAAUGCAGAUGGUGAGACUGUGAGAGAAGCAGGGGCAGAUUUGCCACCAAAGAGACAGGAAAUCUCUGCAGGAGGCACACAAGCACGAGGGGCGUGUCUCCCACUGACCCUGGCAUCGCUCCAGCAAAUCCUUCCUUUUUUGGUUCAGGAGGGAGACAGGAGGGAGACAGCUUGCGUGGGCUCUGCCAAGGCUAACCAACUCUUGAUUUCCCCAAACGAACGUUGGAACUUGCCAGCUUUAGGCUAAAGAGAGAAACCAGACACCUUUCAAGAAGAACAGCAAACGCACAUUCCUCUUUAAUUAUACAGCUUCCUUAACUGUCUAAUCACUUACAAACAGGUCCUUCCUAGAAGCAUUCCUUCAGCAGAUGACUAUUCAGGAGAUAAAAUAGAUCCUGGGAGUGUUUACAAAAGACAUCUGCUUUCUUUGGCUAGUUGUCGCCAUUAAUCAAAAUUUAUGUGGAACGGCUCGUCUUUGGCAGAACAAGAAUAUAAUCAAGAUGACCCUGAAGGGCUAAAAAAGGUUAAUGGACUGACAUAGCAUGUAUGAAUUCCACAAACAUGCAGAACCAGUCUCCAAGGGUCCUCGAAAUACGGAAAUUAGGUGCCUGACUCAGGCGCGCACACGCGGAGCGGGGUCCACACACAGAGAGUCCAUCGUUCGUUCUAGUCGCGACCUUUCCUGCUGCCCAGCCCAUCAGGUCUAUCCUUCCGACUGGCCUCUCUCCCUGCCUGGGAGCUGCCCGGCAAGUUGUUAGAAGGUUCAGAAGGCUCUAGAAUCAGAUUUCAAAGUACUUGCCAGUGAAUUUCCCUCUCGGCUCUCCGACCCCACCCCCACCUGAAAGUCCUUCACUUGUUAACUCGGGGCCUCUCUUCCCUGCCCCUCAGGCCUGAGUCACUCACUUCACACCAGGAACAAAGUUUGCAAAUACUUGGCUACCAGGAGUCGCUGUUCUCAGGGCCAGAUGGAAGAUUCAGAUGCAGAUUUAGAGAGCUAGUUUGUAGCUCCCAGAGCUGAGAUAAAUAUGCCAAGA